CACACACACAUAUACGAGGCGAGGCGAGCCUCUUAAAGCAGCCGUGAGUUGAGCACCUCUUUUUAGGCUUUUUGUAAAAAAAAGGCCACCCUUCGGAAAUGGACUCUACCAAGCUCCCCCGAAUCUGUUCGUGACUUGGACUGUUCCAGACUUUCCGGGGAGUUGGAAAACAAGAUGUUAUGGAGAGAGGCUGCGUAGAUGUGCUUGUUUAUUGUAAAUAAGUUAAAUUCGUCAGAAGUGUUGCAAUCCAAAGAUUAAGGAUUAUGUGUGUGCGUGCAACUAAUUAACCACACACACAACUACGUGAAAUUUGCACAAUAAAUCAUCUACAAGUA